UAGCUCAGUUGGUAAAGAGUCUGCCUGCAAAGCAGGAGACCCUGGUUCGAUUCCUGG
rnacentral:tRNA from 1 species